rnacentral:rRNA from 1 species
GUCCACACCGUAAACGCUGUCUAUUAGCUGUUUGUGUAUCUGAUACGUGAGUAGCGAAGCUAACGCGCUAAAUAGACCGCCUGGGGAGUACGGCCGCAAGGUUAAAACUCAAAUGAAUUGACGGGGGCCCGCACAAGCGGUGGAGCAUGUGGUUUAAUUCGAUGCAACGCGAAGAACCUUACCUACACUUGACAUCCAGAGAACUUAGCAGAGAUGCUUUGGUGCCUUCGGGAGCUCUGAGACAGGUGCUGCAUGGCU